AGAAUUUCAUUUCAGAUUGAGGCGUAUUUGUCCAGACUGGUUUGUCUGUAUGGCCUAAUUCGCUGAAAUGCCUAUGAUGCCCUAAACGGAACUGCAAGUUAUUAAUUGUUAAUGUAACAUUCUAUGAUUGUUUUUCAAUGUUUCAAACGCGUUAACUGUAUAGUGAUAUUGAAUAGUAAAGGCGGGUUAAAAGUCGACUUGUGCGUAUUUUAUGCCAUUUUCACCGGGCGUGAAGGGUUUCAGGAACUGAUAAGUUACCUGGCAGUCAAAAAAUCUGGAUUUACGAAAUGAGCUCUUAGCUCGUAGUCAAAGAACUUGUUUUUUUAGUCGAAGAAAAUGCUGUUUAGCUGUCAUAGGAAUAUCAACUGGCGCAUUAUAUUCUUUUGCAAGCAAUUUUGACUUGGGUGGGGGAUGGUCUUUUUGCAAGACUAGGUUAUUCCCUAGUAUCUCAACCUCUGUUAAAAUACAAUAAUCAAGUUCAGUGAAAUUAUUAUUUAGUCACACUCGCAGCUCCCAUCAACCAAGGUUUUUUCUUGAAUUCAUAUUUCUGCACCCAAAGCAGGUUGCAGGAUCGCUUUUACCACUGUCUCCACUAGAUUUCGUUUGUCUUUUGGCUAUUGCUUCAACCCCUCCCCCCCCCCCACCCCCAUGUUCAAUUUUAUUUGUAAUUAUAAAAAUAAAAACUUUGAAGAAACGGUAUCAGUUUUCAAACAAAGUCGUCUCCUUUUUUCACAAGCUUAGAGGUUCUUUCAAUGUUUCAAAAGCAUACUGGUUCGUGGCAAAAAAAGCAAGAUAUCAUGGCAUGAAAAUAAAUUUUAUGUGGAUAUUAGCGUCUUAGCAGACAUGUAGCUAGGAUUCUCUAGCUUCUAUAUACUUAUAAAUGAAAUGCCUGACAAUUUUUUGUCUUUUCAUCGUGGAUUAUUUUCAAUAAAACACGAAACUUAAUUUGUACUUUCAUCGUUACAAACUUCAUUUGUACUUUCAAUAAAAAUCUACACUACAAGCACAAACAAUACAAAAAAUUGGUCCCAGAAUAAAAUUAGUGUGGGAAAUCUUAAUCUCAGCUCAAAUUGUUGUAAGAUAAGGGUGGUGUCCAAAAGGAGCCCAUAACUUGAAUUGCUCUUACUGCCUGUUCCUGGGGUGUUCAGUCUUUUAAAAACGAUGGUUUCCACCCAUAAAUGAACAAGAACUGGAGAGAAGUUAAAACCUUUCAAUACACUUCUUGUAACUCAACAAGCACCAAGGAGCACACUUAAUAUAGAGAACUGCCAAAAGACUGGUUGACUACAGCCUGUCAGACUUAAAGCUGACAAGUGGCAAAACAUGCUGCACAUAGUUUAAGAAGGGUGCUUGUUGAAAACGUUCAAGAAUAAAUCAAAUUUGAAAACUAUUGUUUAUUAUGAGCAAAACGGUGUGGUUAAUAUAAAAUUGAGGACAAAACUGUUAGCAACUUUUUCAAGAAUAAAGCAACAUGUAGUAUUUUAAACUUUAACAAUUUUCAAAGAGAUUUGCUUUCCUUAAUUAAGGUUUUAACUUUAUGUAAUUUUAUUGUUUCAUUAGAACAAGGCAAGCUGUAGAACAUAAUUUUGACAAAAACAAACAUUUGAGUGUGUGAUUAAUCUUGUUCUUUGGAGUUGCAGGCACAUGUGAUUUUGCAAGCACAUGGUUGCAUGCCAUUCACAGCGUACUAUGACCCCCUUAUGGUUUUUCAAAGCUUGACAUAACCCUUAAGUAUCAAAGCUUUCUACAUCAUUGAAUGUUAAAUAAAAACAAGUUAUUUUGGAAUGAAGAAAAAGGGGUGAAAAAAUUCAUGAUAGACAUUUUAUCAGAAGAUGGGAACAUUUCCUUGAACAAUUUCAAACCCCCGGUGAAAAAUCUUGCAGGAUCCUACAGGAUCCUGUGGGAUCCUAAGAGGAUCCUAGAUUUUUAGGAUCCUGGACAAGAUCCUACCAAAAAUCCUGCAAGAUCCUGUGUGCAUAGGAUCUGAUGCAAGAUCCUACAUAAGGAUCCUGUAAGACAAACACAACUUAAGAUCUUACACAGGAUCCUACCAAAAAUCUUACAGGAUUUUAAAACAGGAUCUUGAAUGGGAUUUUGCUAGGAUCCAGAAUGACAUUGUAAGAUCUUACAAGAACUAGAUUAGGAUCUUAAAUUAGGAUACUAGAUUAGGAGAUUAAGACAAUUCCAAGAUCCUAUUGGAUUGUGACAUGGAUCCUGUCAGGAUCUUGAAUAUAAAGAUAGGAUCCUGUACAAAGUCAAACAGGAUCCUGUUACAUUCUGACCAGGAUCCUUCCAGCAUCUUCAAUCCUAAAUGUUUAGGAUCCUAUACAAGAUCUUACAUAAGGAUCCUGUAGGAGAUAAACAACUGAAGAUCUUACACAGGAUCCUACCAAAAAUCUUACAGAAUUCUAAAACAGGAUCUUGAAUAGGAUCUUGCUAGGAUCCAUAGUGACAUUGCAGGAUCUUAAAAGAACUAGAUUAGGAUCUUACACAUAACGAUUCCAAGAUCCUAUUUGAUUGUGACAUGGAUCCUGCCAGGAUCUUGAAUAUAACGAUAGGAUCCUGUAGAAUCUUAAAGAGGAUCCUGUUACAUUCUGACCAGGAUCCUACCAACAUCUUGAAUCCUAAGCGGUGGUGUAGUGGUAUCAAAAUAACAAGGGGGGCUCUUGCACAAAAAGUUGCAAAAAACAAUAGAAAAAUAUAAAUUUGCCAUGUUUUUGGCAUUAACAAGGGGGCUCAGCCCCUAGCACUACACCCCUGAUCCUAAGUGUAUAUCAAUCGAUUUCGUGGAAUUUUGAUGCAGCAAAGCGCAAGAAAAACAAAAUAUAUGAUCACAUCAAUCUCUGAUGUAUAUAAAUACCACACCCUUUAGUUUAGCUUUUUCAAAUACAUUUCAGAAUUAUUUCUUCAUGUCACUUUCAUGUAUUGGCUUAAAUCGAUUAACUAUUUUUAGGCAUACUCUUUUUAAGUUGAAUUAAUUCCAUUUUUAAAAUGGAACUUAUUACUUUAUGUGGCCCCUUAGAUGCUAGACAUUGAUUCUCUGUUGCAGUUUGCCCCCUCUUCCCAGAGGCGUCGGCAUAGGGGGGUACGGUGUGGGUGUGGUAUCCCAACAAUUUGUUGGUCGGCACAGUAAGGAUUUUUGCUGGGCACUCGCUCUGCAACCUUUUUGCAACAUUUCUGUGUAGUUGAACUAUCAAAGUAUGGCACUAGAGUAUAAACUUUGAAACAGAAAGGAAUAAAAGCAGCAUGCAAGAGUAUUUAUCUUUUGACCACACCCUUAAAGAAUGAAACGCGCCCUUUUUUGUCGGCAAAAAUCGCCUCUUCAUCCCUCUAAACAAUUUUCUUGGCUACACUCCUGCCUCUUCCCCAACUCUUGGGGGCCCUGGGCAUGUUCAGGCUAUCAAUUUUCUUUUUAAGGUUCAAAAAGUUUGAAGUUUAUCUAAAAGGCAUAAAAUUCGUCCGCCAUAAUUAAAGCAUCAGUUUUAUAACGGAGCAGCUUUCCAUUUUAGCACUGCACAAAACCGUUUUGUCAUUGCACAAAUUGGUUAUCAUUGCACCCCAAAUUAGAUAUGCUGUCGGGUAAAUAUGGUUAUAGAAAACGAUGUUGAACUGGAAAGAAUAUUUUUCAAAUAACUUGUUUUCGACUUAUUCAAAAUCAGGGACUUUCAAGGGGUGAUCGUGCUGUAACCGGUGUUCUGGUAGGUACGGGGAUUCAUAAACUGCGAUAACCAUCGCUAAUGAAGUGAAUUGUCGCAUGCCUUUUUUACCAACCAAUCAGAGGACACUUGGCAGUCCAGCGGGUCACAUUUUGAACGAGACAAUCUGUUGGUGGAAAACAGAAGAAAGACUUGCAAAAUGCGACCCGCUGUAAAAUGCGACCAGAGAUGCAAAAUGCUGAACAUCUGUCAGGCGCUUUUUCCAAAAAGUCAAGAUUGAAAGCAAAAGAAUCGAGAAGAAUGGAUCCAGCCCAGCAGUUUACAAAAGAAAACAAACAAGUAAUGUUCUGUGGAGAUUUCAACCUUGGAUUGUCAAGGUGCUUUCAAUGCAGUUUAAAGAGAGUAAAAUACAGCAAAGCAGAGUGAGGUUAUAAACAGAACAAUUAAACAGAAAUGUCUUGACAAACUAGUAAAUUAAGCAUAGUUGAUGAAGAUGUAGUAUACAAAGAUUGUGACUUUAUCAAAUGUGAAUCACAUGAAACUUGAUUUGCUCUCUACAGAUCUACUUCUUGAACUCUUAUUUGGUAGAAGGUCCUACAAUAUCCUUUAUUAGGAUCCUGAACAGAUCAUAUACAGGAUCCUGAUUAGAUCAUAUACAGGAUCCUGAUUAGAUCAUAUACAGGAUCCUGAUAAGAUCAUAUAUAGGAUCCUGAACCAGGGGCGGACUGGCUGGUCGGGCUAUUCGGGCGAUCGCCCGAAGGGCCGGUCGGUUUGAGGGCCGGCUGAUAAAAGUGCAAAAAAAUAAAUUAGCUUAAAAAGUAUACCCACGCGUUGAUCUGUUUGCCUUGAAUUUUCAGAGACACUUGAAUUUGAAUUGUGGGAAAGAAUAAAUAUACAUGCAAGUACUCGAAAACCAUUAAAAUUAUGAAUUCAUUAAGCACAGACACACUUCUUCAGGAAACAUGUUAUUGUUAUAUUUUCUCUUGAUGGUAUUUUCUUAUUGGCGACAUACUAUACUGUAACACCCCUGUUUCAAGGCGAUACAUAAGAUUUUAACCUGCCUUGAUGUCUUCUUACUUAGCUUUUGCUUGAAGCUGGUCAUGUUUUUGCCUAAGCACAAGCUAUUGCUAAAUGUAAUAAAUUUAAAAGUUAUUAGAGUUCACUAAGCGAUUUGCUCUUUGAUUUGGAGCAAUAAAGAGGACAUACGUAGAACGAGGAAGAGCAAGAAGACUUCAAUCAAAGGUGGUGCAUAGAAAUUUCGCGAGGAAUAGCUGCGAGACUUAAAAAAAGGAUUCAGCUACGAUACAAAGCUUUUUUAUCAAGCAAAAGCCACAAACAUCACAAAAAACAGCAGGGUCUUGCUCUUGCUCCUUUCAAUAAACUAAAACAAGUUAUGGAAAGUUUAUUAGGCCCAACUAUCAUAAGUCAAAUGCACCCCCUGCCCAACAUUAUGGUAAGGUGCUACACGAUAAAAUUUCAACAGGGGUGCCCAUGUUUUCUUUUUGGGGUCAGAAAUUGACAAAUUGAUAUUUUUGGGUUGCUGAAAAUCAUUGUGGUUUUCCGGAGGAUUAGAAAAUUAUUUGUCACAAGUGGAGUGUGAUAGAAGCCUUUCCACUUUAAAUAAAUAAAGAACAGGUUACGUAGUAAUUUUUCGCAGCCAAACCUGGAGUCCUUCAUGUUAAUGUUCUUAGAAAAGCACCUGUUAAAUGACAUCCAGAACGAUAGCAUUAUCAACAUAUAAGUUCCUGUAUUUAGAAUCAGAGUCAAACCAAGAAGUUACAAUUUUUUUUAUUUACUGUUUAGUCAGCAUAUGACAUAUUUAACAUGUUCCGUUAACCAUAUUCUGUUAACCAGCAUUCAUCCAUAAACAAAAUUACUGAAUUUAAAAACUUGUUUUCAUUACAGACUAACAUUUACUUGUAUUUUCCGAGGAGUUUUUUAUUUGCUAUUAUUGUGGGCCGGUUUGAUCAAAAUUUGCC